rnacentral:ncRNA from 1 species
GUUAAAACGUUGAAGGGGAAAAGUAGUCUUAAGCCUGUGUAUCUACAGAGAGCCGGGGCAGCUGAAAACCGGUGAUACACACUUAAGAUGAACUCACCCCUGAGUGUCUCGCUGAACGCCAAGGCAAGUAGGUGAGGCCGGGUGCACUGCACUCGUUAUUAAAACGGACGGAGUGGAUGGCCAUUCCGUUCAUGAGGCAUUGUCCGCAAGGGCAAUGUGAAGAAGGGUGGUACCAUGGAAAGGAAAUCUUUUCAUCCCUUAC